rnacentral:lncRNA from 1 species
GAUGGUGCGCCUGGGGGAACCCUAGCUUCAUGAAUCAAGCAAUUGAAUGCUUAAAUCAAAAGAAAAUCUGAUGCAUGAGCUCAAAUUUCGAAUAGCAAGUUCCAAUUUGUGAAGUGGCAAAGCAAUGUUGGAUUAAAGAAUGAUAUGAAUUUGUUGAUCGUUGAUGGGCGUGAAAGAAGAAGGUUCCAACACUAGGAAAUCGGAAGGCUCACAAGAUCGAGGUAAAUCCUCAACUUAAGCGAUUGGUCGACUUGGAACGAGCGCACUUGAUCUACGCCCAUCUCACGCUUCCGUUAUAGUUAAUUUAAUGUGGUCCUAGUUUUAGUCUUAUGAAUUUUUAACUUAUGUCGUCUUUUGAUGUCCUUGUAGUUGGGCAAAAACUUAAUAGUAGUAGUUUGUUUUAGUUUUGAACAAUGUUGAUAACGAGUUAACUCUAACCCGCACGUUACGGCGGAAUGUUAAUUAUUUAAAA